GUAAACAGGGUAUACUGUUGCAGAUUCCGUGGAGUGCAGCUUUAAAUAGAUUUGGUUUGGAAAUGGGACAGAGAACACACCGCAGUCAGUGGAUCAACGUUGAGAGCAGAGAAAAACAAUGAUUACACUCAUUAAGUGGGUACCUGUUGACACAUUUACUGUCAAGUCUAAUUAUUUAUUGAAACUGUUAUUCUUUCUUCAUUACUGCCACUGAUACCAAUUAUUGCCACAGGAUUAUUUUAAAUUUCUACAGCAUGCUCCCAGACUAUUUACUUCUCCACCUCCCAAAGGUUACUUGAGAGGUUUCUAUCAUUCCCUCUCUACCAUUCCCCACCUCCAAAAUAUAACGAAAAGAGAAAGAGAGAAAAUUCCUCUUUCUUGAGAGUAAUUUUUGUAACCUUUCAGGGCUUGCUUAAAACUCCUCUUGAUAGUUUCAAGAUGGGUUUCUGUGGGGACAGGGGAUACAGUUAAUUACUUUUCAAAGCUUAUUCUAUUAAUAUUUAACAAUUGGCAUCGGAGGGAAGGUUAGUGUGAUAACUGCAGUUUCUAAAUGAACAAGUUAGAUCUCUGCCUCACAGAGCUGUCAAAAACUAUGAUAGUAGGUAUCUACAGUACAUUCUUUUCUGAUAUAUUUAUCCGUAAAAAUAAAACAUUAGAAAUAAGUUUUUGCAGGGUUAUUUUGUGGACUAGAAAAGAAAUAAAAGGUGGACAGGAGCCAUUCUUACAUUUUUUGCUACUACCUUUUUUAAAAACAAUGUUCUCUUUUUCUGUGUUAGUUUGCUGAGAAUGAUGGCUUCCAAACACCGCAUGUUCUCACUCAGAAGUGGGAGUUGAACGAGAACACAUGGACACAGGGAGGGGAACAUCACACAUCGGGGCCCGUUGAUGGGUGGAGGGCAAGGCAAGGACAAAUACCUAAUGCAUGCGGUGCUUAAAACCUGGAUGAUGGGUGGAUAGGGUGCAGCAACCACCAUGGCACAUGUAUACCUACGUAAAAAUCCUGCAUGUUCUGCACAUGUAUCCAAGAACUUAAAGUAAAAUAAUAAGUAAAUAAAUAAAUAAAAAACUUCCUGGGUAAACUAGCUUAUAUUCCACUUGAAAAAUAAAUAAAUAAUAAUAAAAAUAAAAACAAUGUUCUUUUUUUGUAGGAAUGAGAAGAAAAUCUAAAUAACUUAAGUGGCUGUUAUGUCUGGUUUAAUUACAGAAAUUUCAUAGUCCAUACAUAACCUACCUUGUCUGCACGUGUUCUUAUUAUAUAUAUAUGAUAUUAGCUUUGAAAAUCAUGUAAACCUGACACCUUAAUUUCCUCUCAAUUCUAAAUUUUCUAAGUCCUACAAAUUUGGGGCAAUACCAACCAAUUUUAUUCUUCUCAAAGGUCUGUGCAACUGAAGUCAUGGUUGCAGUUCGAGGUCAUAGAUAUAACAUACCAAAGGAAUUAACAAAAUAUUCAGCAGAAUACAUGUGUAUAGUACUCUAAAUAAUGAUAUCAAAUCUUCUACAAAGUUACUAUUCUACAUAUUGACUACUUCACCUCUUUUUGGUUAAGUUACAUUACAUAAAACACAGUAGAGCUCAUUAGAAGGUACAGAUUCAGCAGGUUGACUUUAGGAGAAAAAUCGCAUCUGGUAAAUUUUACAACUAUGAUGCUUCCUUUAAAUGUUUUUUCUCCAUUGGCCUCCAUUUUCUUGGCAAACUCAAGACAAAUGUAUUCUUCUGCCAAGGAUUGGUGUCAUUCCCAACAGUCCCCCAGGAGAGUGGCAUUCAGAUACAAUGGAUGCAAGGUUUCAAAAGACUAACUCAAUUUUCUGUGUUCUUAGGAUUUUUCUGUUGUGGCUUUGGAUUCUAGCUUUUUGAGAUGAUUUUGUUUGGCAGCUAAGAGAGAGUGACUGACCCAGCCAUAAAUAUUUGGCCCCUUCAGAGCCAGGUAACACUGGCAGUAUAGUGUAGUCAAAAAUGCGCUCAAUCAAGGGUUAGGAAACCAGGUAAAAAGCCCUCCUGCCACAUACUAGUUGAGGAUACAAUAAAAUAAUGGUUAAGCACAUUCUACUCCAUUGCAUUUUAUGGACACUUAAAUACAUACACAUUAAAUCUGAAUCGUCUGUGUGGCCCAGAUUUUUGGUUUUGGUAUUAAACCUUAAGGGCUAUGAAUUAAAAGGGAAAAAAAUAAAUCAAAAAAACAAAAAUAAAAAGAGAGGUCAGCUCACUGUCUUGGCCAUUUUUCAGUUCUUUUCCUCAUAAAGUACUUUGUAUUUCUUCUAUUCUUUGUAUUUCUUCUAAAAUCAACAUUACUGGCUCAGAUGCCUAUUAGUAUUUCAUAAACAAGAAGACACGCCUCCUCUCUUACCUCAGAUAGCUGGCUCCUGGAAUGGAUGGUUGACACAAGGUUCAGCCAACUGCAAUGCUAGUGUUUACAAAUGAAAUAAGUAAAAAUUACUUCCAGACACCAAACCCAUAUUUAUUCAUUAAUAGUCAUAACCUCUUAUAUCUACAUAAUGGUUUCUUGUUUUACAAAACAUUUUCACAUUCAUUGCACCCCACAGGAACCCGAUGAAGAAGCAGGAAGAGAUGAUUCUACUGGCUUCAUAGGUGAGGAAACAGAAGCUCAAAGAGGGACAGAAAGGAUGAGAAAGGAACUAACACCAUCCUCAUGAUUAACUUUACAGAAACCAUAUAAAAUGAAUAUUAUUGUCCACAUUUUACAGAAGUAGAAACUGAAGUUCACAAAAGGAAAGUAAUUUGCCCAAGAUUACACAGUUUAGUAUCUGGCAGGGCAUGAAUUUGGAGCCAAAGUUUGUGCCUGCUAGUCCAGUAAUCCUUCCUUUCUACUUCAGUUUUUCCUAGGUUAUUAGGCUAGGGAAAGACAAAGACAAACAGCAACUCAUUGUCUUAAUUCACAAGGCUUGGUGGAGAGAGAAAAUAAAAUAAAACCAGCUAUUUGAUUGAAAUGAGGAAAUGGGAAAAGUACAUAGGAUUUCGAGCCAGUCAGAUUUCCUUUAAUCAAUGGCCUUAGGCAAGUUAUUUAAACUCCAUGAGUGUCAAUUUCUUCAUAUGUAUGUGAAGAUUAUGAUAUAUACUCCAUAGCCAAAGUUGCCCUUAGUUAAACUUUUUAAAUAAGAUUUCUCUCCAUUAUUCCAUAUAUAUGGUUAUAGAGAGCAGUGAUAACAUUUCUUCCCAUAAAUCCACAUUUAUAUGAUCAAAAGAUAACAUUAUAAGCACAUUAGGCAAGAGAAUAUCUCUUUGACUUAUGUUUCCUAGUUUUAAAACACCGAAAUAUUAAUCUAUGUCACUCUCACAUGACCUCAUCUAACAAGAGACAGCCCAAAAACUUUUAAGAUUUUAAAAUCAAAAGUUUCCUUGACCCCUAAAAAGCAAAACAGAUACUGCUUUAGUUGAAAGACCUGCUGAUGAAUCGCACAUCAUUUUCAACUUUGUGCCCAUAAUCAUGCCCUAGGUUCAGAGAGUUGGAGUUUCCACCAGACUCUAAGAACAAAGCAAAUUUGUUUUAAUAGAAUGGAUGGAUUUAUUGAGAAAUAUAAGACUUCUAGGAAGUUUUGAUAAAAUGUCCCGUUUACAUAAAGGACUCAAAACAGGUUAAGAAAAGAACAUGGAUCCUGCAACUAUACCCCUGAACUUAAAAUAAAAGUUUCAAAAAAAAAAAAAAAAAAAAGAGCAUGAUUGAUCAGAUGCCCUGCAAGAAACUUGUCAUCUACCACCAAAUGAAAACAUUAAUCAUCUUUUAACAUCAUGCUUUAUUUUAUAGCUUGAAAAAUCACAAUGACCAUUAUGUCUCAAACCAUUCCCUUUAUAACUCCAAUGAGACCUUAUUACCCAAAUUUUACAAAUACAAAAACCAAACUUCAAAGAUCACAUGGUUAACAUGGAGCAGAUAAAAAUGUAACACUGUAUCUUGAUACCAAAAUCAGUAAGCACCCUCCUACUACAUGACGUAGCCUCCCAAUUGCUAUUUGAAGAGGGUAACUAAACAACUUCAGGAAAGGGAAACCGAGUGUAUAGCACAGAAAAUUCAAUUGUCGAAGCACUAACACACACUUAGUUCUAAGUUCUGCUUUAUUAGCAAGUGAAAGGAGAAAGAGUAGACUUCACAUCUGUGGUCUAACCAGAAGGUGACACAUUACUAAGCUAAGGCAAAAGGAGUGUUUGAUGCAGUGUUACCAUAAACACUUUCUCAGAUCUCACCAGGAAAGUUUCAAGAUGCAACAUCCCUGGGCAAAGUGUCGAAGCACAAGCCAUAUACGCAAGUCUGUACCAGUGAAGUUUUGUGAAGAGUGUGAUACAGUUUGACUGUGUCCACACCGAAAAUGUCAUCUUGAAUUGUAAACCCCAUGAGUCAAGGGUGAUACCAGGUAGAAGUAAUCCGAUCAUGGGGGCAAUUUCCCCCAUGCUGUUCUCAUGAUAGUGAGUGAGUCUCACGAGAUCUGAUAGUUUUAUAAGCAUCUGGCAUUUCUCCUGCUGGCAGUCACUCUUUCCUGCCGCCCUGUGAAGAAGGUGCCUGUUCCUCCUUUGCCUUUCACCAUGAUUAUAAGUUUCCUGAGGCCUCCCCAGCAAUGUGGAACUGUGAGUCAAUUAAACCUCUUUCUUUAUAAAUUACGUGGUCUCUGGCAGUUCUUUAUAGCAGCGUGAGAAUGGACUAAUACAAAUCCUUCACCAAUCAGUCUCAUUUUAAGCAAUAGGAAAGCUGAAGUCUUUCUAGCUAAGAAGUUCACCAGCCCUCUUCACGUGGAUUGAGUGGCAUGUGUCCUGAGUAGCUCCUGAGUGUUUCAUAAUGCAAUGGAGUUUUCCAUAAUUCCAUACAGACAUCUGGGACAACUGACAAAUCCCACUCUAGCCUUUUGGUAAUGAAGCCAGUUAUCCUUGGCUGCCUCUGUGUAUUUUAUAACUAACUGCUGACCCAGAACCUGACAUGUCUGCAUCCUUUGUCAAACCAUCCAUCCUCUCUCCCCUCAAAAAUAUGCUCACCCUCAGAAGCAAUUUUACAGAAGCAACUAUAUUUUGGAGAAAAACAGGAUGGAGUAAAUGAAGGUAAGAUAAUAAAGAGAGAGAAGCAAGAAAAUAACAGGGGGUAAAGAAAAAGCAGAAGAAAAUGGAAUGACAUGGAAAUGAAAAGUGCAGAGAUCAGCUGCAAUGGGUUUUUCACAAACCAUGGUGUCCUUUGAAUUUUCCACCACACCUCACAACAAAAUGUAACCAUCCCUAAGAUGAUUAUCUUAGUAUUAUGAACAAAAAUUCUAAGUGUUAUUGAACCAGUGUAAAGCUAACUCAAAAUACUUGAUAUUUUGUAAGUGCUUUAGUACCUCAAUAAGCAAUAUAAGAGUAUCUUAUAAAAACUCCCACUAAGUCAAUAAACUGGUACCUCUUUCACCCUGGUGUCCAAGAUAUUCAUUCCGAAUAGGGGGAAUCAUAUUGAAAAGAAUAAUGAAAUGGGGAUGGAGGAACUGGGUUCUGGUUUUAGUGCUGUAAUUAUCAAAUCUUUUGAUUAGAAGUUGCAUAAAAUACACAUUCUGUGUUUCUCUUUUCACAGUUAUCCCAAAACCACUGCGAAAAGGCCAAUAAUAAUUUGGUCAUUUUCAUAAGUUUCAUGUGGCAACAGAGGUAGUAGUAAAAGGAUUACUUAACCUAACAUUUAUUAAAAUAAAACAAUGUUUUAAACAUAGAAGUCUGUCCCCAGAAGCAACUGAAAUGUUAAAUCAGGCCAAAGGAAUUAGAUGACAAAUAUGGACUGCCCUGCAUUCCAGUCAUCAAAUACCACAUACAAUUUAAAGUGCACUCUCAUGCCACCCUAAGAUACUUAUCAAGAAUACAAGGUAUUCCAUAGCUUAUGAUUUGGUUGUCUCAUUAAAGUAAUGUUUGCCAGGAUUUAAUUGCUUCCCUCUCUGAUUUUAAUUUCCACACCUGUCAGCAUCUAUCAGAGGCACUGAAAUCUUCUGACAUCUGGUUGAUUGUGUUGAAAUUAAUCAGAUUUUUUAAAAGUAAAUUGCUUUGGCCUAAAGGUAAUGCUCAACUUCUUAAUGUUAUAUUUAUAAGGGCUCUAUCAAUGGAAUGUAUAAUCUAGAAAUAAAAUGAGAGACUUUAGGAAUUCUGAGCAGAAAUAUAAGUAGCUUACAAAUCUCCAGCACUGGACUUUUAAAGAUAAGUACUUUAAGAGUGACAUCAGUAGCAUGGCCAACCAGAGGCCCCUAGCUCUCGUCUCUUUCACAAAGACAGCCACAACAACAAUCAACAACUAAACUUUAACAAAAAUAACUGGGCCAGGCACGAUGGUUCGUGCCUGUAGUCCCGGCACUCUGGGAGGCCAAGGUGAGUGGAUCUGUUGAGCUCUGGAGUUUGAGAGCAGCCUGGGCAACAUAGGGAAACCCCAUUGCUAUAUAGAAAAAAACAAAAAGAUGAACUAAAAACAGAAGAAGAAAAAAUAAUAACUAAGGCAGUGUACCAGACUGCAUCAGAGAAGUAACAGAAACCCUGGAUAGCAAGAAACUCAGAAUGACCACAUAGAGAAUAGAAACAAAACACCUGGUCUUUACCACCCAUCACCCACUUGGGAUCUGCUGGAAACAGGGAGGAACUUCUCUCUAGGGUAGAAUGGUACACAAAAGGAUCCCAGCAAGCCCCAUCAACACCUUGAACAGCUACAGACCUCACCCAUGGAGUCUCAUGUAGUCCUCACAGGAGCCAAGUCCCAGCUGAGGGACCUGCCUGAAGUCCACAUAGCCGUGCUUCCCCAAGAAAAAGAGCAACCAGUGUGACCUGCCCUCUGUGGCCUGCGCAGCUACUGCGCUAUGCCGUCUUGGAAAUGGAGCUUUGGCUGGAGUGUCUCUUGCUCUGGGAGUGCAUAGCUAUGACACUCCAUCACUAAGGCUAAGCUACCGUUGAACCACCCGAACCCAGUGGCCCGACAUCCCCAAGCCGAGCUGCCAGCAACUGUUCCACUCUUCCCCAUGGGCCCAGGUGAAGGUAGAGUCACUUAAUCUACCUUUCACCCUCCCCUUCAGGCCAGUGCUGAAGCAGUACCCUGCCUCCUGGGAAAACAGUACAUUGGCCACUCAGAGCGGUCACGCACCCCAGUACUUAAUCUGAAGUAGCACCCUUCAUCCCAGGGAAAUGGUACCUGGGCUGCCUAGAAAAGUCAUGUCCCCCAGGCCUGAGCUGAAGUGGCAUAUUGUCCCUUGGUGAAUUGGUGCCAUCGCUCAGCUGAGCAGCUGUAAAUCCCAAAGCUGAGCUGAUGUGAUAACCCACAUCCUUGGAAAACUGAGCAGUGGCUGGGCUGAUCUGAGACACUCCAGCCUAAAGGGAAAACAACUCUAAUACGCUGUUUCCCUGGAGCUGGUCUACCUGCUUAGUGUCAGAGCUGCUAAGAUACCCCUCUCCCUGUGGCAUACAGCCACCACUGUGCUGUACUCUGCCCCCACUCAGGGCACAAGUAACAGCUGUAUGUUGCCAUUCUGGGGUACUGCUACCGCAUGUGGUCUUACAGAGUCUAAGGUACUGCUGAGUCCCAACAUCCAGGGGUCAAGAAUCACUACUACAUGGUGCCUCAUCCCCUGAGAUCCAAGUUGCCACUGAACCCUACUGGCUCAUGUUGCCAAAUCAGGGCAUAUCCUGCUCUCUGGGUCCAAACUUCCCUGCACUCCUUCUUUCCUGGAGUUGAGCCACUCACAGCUGGGACUGAGUUUGUAGAGUAAUGUCUCAGAGUCACAAAUCCUGGCUCUGUGGGAAGCCUACAUCCAACCCUAGCACAGAGAGUGAACCUGUAACCCAAGACCCAGGUGUCACAAUAGGUUGGCAAGAUCCUGGGCAUAAGACUCUAGUCCCACAGCCACUUCAAGCACCUGCACCUAGAACUCAGCACCACUGCACUUGCUUGUAGGUCAUGUGAUAUCUGACAUGAAGAGCAGUCCCCUUGGCUAAAUCUCCCCAUUAUGAAAAAAAUAAGAAUAGGAGGACCUCAAAAGCCCUUGACACUGAGGACAUUAAUAAUCUAUGCCACCACCACCACUGCCACAAAUUUCUACAACUUAAGCUACUGAGGUGCCCACAGUUAUUGCUGACAUUGAACGUAGCUUUAGAAGCUGCAUGGAGACCCUAUCACUGCAUCUAUUCAGAAACAAAGUCAUCACACCCCUCCCAACUGUAACACCAACCCUAAUUGCAAGCGGAAGUCUUUUUUUAUGAAAACCACUCCAGAAAGUUUGUAUAGAAGAGGUAAUUGUUCCACCGGAUGCAAAGACAUCAACUCACUGACACAAGAAAUAUGAAAAAGCAAUAAAAUAUGACACCACCAAAGGAAUGUAGCUCUUUAGUUUCAGACUCCAGUAAAAAAGAAAUCAAUAAAAUGCCAGAAAAGGAAUUCAAAAUAAUGAUCUUAAGGAACCUCAGUGAGAUACAAGAAAAUACAGAUAGACAAUUUUACUAAAUCAAGAAAAUAAUUCACAAUAUGAAGAAGAAAUUCAACAAAGAUAGACAUAAUAAAAAAGAAUAAAUCUCAAAAAUAAAGAAUUUCAUGAAUGCAUUCUUACCCUCAUACCAAAACCAGACAAGGACAAACAUGUAAAAAGAAAAUUAUAGGCCAGGAUCUCUGAUGAACAUAGAUGCAAAAAUCCUCAACAAAAUACUAGCAAACUGAAUCCACCAAUACAUUUAAAGGAGCAUUUACUAUGAUCAAGUGGUAUUUAUCCGAGGGAUACAAGGAUAGUUUAACACAGGUAAACCAAUAAACGUGAUACAUUACCUCAACAAAACAAAGUACAAAAACCAUGAUUAUCUCAUUAGAUGCAGAAAAAGCACUUCAUAAAGUUCAACAUUCCUUCAUGAUAUAAUAUCUCAAGUCAGGUAUAAAAGAAACAUACCUUACCUCAGCAUAAUAAACACUUCACAUGAUAAACCCACAGUCAUCAACAUACUGGACACGUUCAAAUUGAAAGGUUUCUUUUAAGCUCUGGAACAAGACAAAGAUGCUCACUUUUACCACUUUUAUUCAAGAUAGUUCUUGAACAGGCGUAUACACCAAUGGGACAGAACAGAGAACCCAAAAAUAAAUCCACGUAUUUACAGCCAACUGAUUUUCAACAAAGGAAACAAGAAGAAUCUCUUUAAUAAAUGGUGCUGGGAAAACUGGACAUCCAUAUACAGAAAAUGGAGCCACCAUGAGAUAUCAUCUAACCCAAGUUAGAAUAGCUAUUAUCAGAGACAAAAAAAAUAAGAAACGCUGGCAAAGAUGCAAAGAAAAGGGAAUUCAUACACUGUUGGUGGGAAUGUAAGUUAGUACAGCCAUUAUAGAAAAUAGUAUAGAGGUUCUUCAAAACACUAAAAUUAGAAAUAUUGGCUGGGCAUGGUGGCUCAGGCCUAUAAUCCCAGCACUUUGGGAGGCCAAGGUGGGCGGAUCACGAGGUCAAGAGAAGGAGACCAUCCUGGCCAAUAUGAUGAAACCCCGUCUGUACUAAAAACACAAAAAUUAGCCGGGCGUG
rnacentral:lncRNA from 1 species